GACGAACGCUGGCGGCGUGCCUAAUACAUGCAAGUAGAACGCAGUUGCGAACGGGUGCGUAACGCGUCGGUAACUGCCUCAUAGCGGGGGAUAACUAUUUGAAACGAUAGCUAAUACCCCAUCCUUUGCGCUUGACCUGCUUUGUAUUAGUUAGUUGGGGAGGUAAAGGCUCACCAAGGCGACGCUCCAUAGCCGACCUGAGAGGGUGAUCGGCCCAACUGGGCCUGAGACACGGCGCAGACUCCUACGGUAGGCAGCAGUAGGGAAUCUGCGGCAAUGGACGGAAGUCUGACCGAGCAACGCCGCGUGAGUGAAGAAGGUUUUCGGAUCGUAAAGCUCUGUUGUUAGAGAAGCGGUAACUAAAGAGAAAGGGACGGCUAACUACGUGCCAGCAGCCGCGGUAAUAG
rnacentral:rRNA from 1 species